rnacentral:rRNA from 1 species
AGCAGCCGCGGUAAUUCCAGCUCCAAUAGCGUAUAUUAAAGUUGUUGCAGUUAAAAAGCUCGUAGUUGAAUUUCGGGGUCAGUAGGUUGGUCGUGCCACUGGUAUGUACUGGCUUCACUGAUUCCUCCCUCUUGUAGAACCGUAAUGCCAUUAAUUUGGUGUUGCGGGGAAACAGGACUGUUACUUUGAAAAAAUUAGAGUGUUUAAAGCAGGCUAACGCUUGAAUACAUUAGCAUGGAAUAAUGAAAUAGGACGUUUGAUCCUAUUUUGUUGGUUUCUAGGAUUGACGUAAUGAUUAAUAGGGAUAGUUGGGGGCAUUAGUAUUCAAUUGUCAGAGGUGAAAUUCUUGGAUUUAUUGAAGACUAACUACUGCGAAAGCAUUUGCCAAGGAUGUUUUCAUUAAUCAAGAACGAAAGUUAGGGGAUCGAAGACGAUCAGAUACCGUCGUAGUCUUAACCAUAAACUAUGCCGACUAGGGAUCGGAUGAUGUUAAUUUUUUAAUGUACUCUAUUCGGCGCCG